CUAUUUUAACCUCACUAGUUCCUGUGAAAAAAGGCUUGUUUUGUACAACUGCUAUUUUGUUGUACUACUGACACAACAAGUUACACACUGACUUCACAAGGGUGCGUACAGAGUACCAAUGAGCACUCGAUGGGCUACGAGGAGCUGGCGACAAAGACCAUUGAGAGUUCCAUGUGUAACCAGAUCUUCUACUUGUCCUUUCA